GACGAACGCUGGCGGCGUGCCUAACACAUGCAAGUCGAACGGAGCUUGCUUAUUGGAUCCCGUUCGGGGUGACGAUUUGUAAGCUUAGUGGCGGACGGGUGAGUAACGCGUGAGUAACCUGCCUUACAGAGGGGGACAACAGUUGGAAACGACUGCUAAUACCGCAUAACAUAGCGAGAGGGCAUCCUCUUGUUAUCAAAGAUUUAUCGCUUAAGGAUGGACUCGCGUCUGAUUAGAUAGUUGGUGAGGUAACGGCUCACCAAGUCGACGAUCAGUAGCCGAACUGAGAGGUUGAUCGGCCACAUUGGGACUGAGACACGGCCCAGACUCCUACGGGAGGCAGCAGUGGGGAAUAUUGCGCAAUGGGGGAAACCCUGACGCAGCAACGCCGCGUGAAGGAUGAAGGUCUUCGGAUCGUAAACUUUUGUCUUAUGGGAAGAACAAGGACGGUACCAUAGGAGGAAGCCACGGCUAACUACGUG
rnacentral:rRNA from 1 species